rnacentral:rRNA from 1 species
AUACGGAGGAUCUAAGCGUUAUCCGGAAUCAUUGGGUUUAAAGGGUCCGUAGGCGGGCUAAUAAGUCAGGGGUGAAAUCCCACAGCUUAACUGUGGAACUGCCCUUGAUACUGUUGGUCUUGAGUUACAGUGAAGUGGUUAGAAUGUGUAGUGUAGCGGUGAAAUGCAUAGAGAUUACACAGAAUACCGAUUGCGAAGGCAGAUCACUAACUGUAUACUGACGCUAAUGGACGAAAGCGUGGGGAGCGAACAGGAUUAGAAACCCCAGUAGUCC